CCUGAGUUUGGGACAGCCAGAUAGAAGUUCUGGGAUACUUGUCCUGUCCUCCAUUUCUUCCUGACUUCUAGUCUGCUUUGCUUCUGGAGGAUCCAUCAAUUCCUUUUGGCCUGGCUUCACUGGGAUAAAAGCUAAAUGAACUGGAGUUCCAGGAACCAUUGCCUCCCAGAGCAACCUGACCUGUAGCAGUCUGGUAAGCUUGCUGUCUCGGUAGGGAACACGGGGCAGGCCUUGGUUCAAUGCAUCUACCACCUUGCCCAACACAAAGAGGGAGGCAUUGAUGGCGCCACUCUCCUUUAGCCGCAAGCCCUGGUUGCCUGUACGCCGAUUGUCCUCUGAACCAGCCAAGUCAAUCAGAUAGAGCUUCCCCUCCCGUUGCCGGAAUGGGGCAAUUCGCUCCCGCUGUUCCACCUGUGUGUGAGAAGUUACUGAGUGAACGAAAAAUCAGAGGCCCAAUUUUGGUAACUUUUUUUCUGCCUCUACUUCUUAUCACCUAUCCCAAAUCCAGAUCCAAAAUACUCCAACCCUCAAUAUGCUGACAACAAACCCACUUUAACCAGGAGCACAGCAUGGCUUCGGGAGGACCGUUGGUUGAGCCGGGUAGCUCCCACAGUCCGAUUUCUGCUGGCUGGCAGGAAAUGUUGUUCAAAGUCAGUGAAGGAAGCAAUGGGUUUUUGGGUGAGUCCAGGGAUCAGGAUGUUCCCCCAUCGGUCUUCUCUGAUCACUAGGUCUCCUGAAGCAGGGGCAAGGAGGUCCAAUACCUGGGAAAGACAGAAACAAGGUAGAAUUCCUUAUGUAUAGCAUCCUGACCUUCUAUAGCUGGGCCUCACUACUAUUCUCACUUUCUCUCCUUAAAUAAGAUCUAAGUUUUCUAUUCAACCAAGUCCUCUCCUUAAGAGACUUUUUUUCUUGACUUUUCCCACCUAUCCCAAAGAUUUAGGUUUCCAAUUCCUAUCUCAAUCUCUCCUAACUUAAGAGGAGCCUUACCUUCUCUUGAUAGAUUUCCAAAUAGGACAUGGAGACAGCAAAGGCCCAGGGUCGCCCUUCUGCACCCUCCUCCCAAGUGAGCUGCAAGAGGUCUUUAAGGGCCCGAGGGAUAAUGCCAGGCUGCUCUGGGCUGCCUAGCAUUGUGUAUGUUUUCCCUGUGGGAAGAAGACAAGAGGAAACAGUAAAAUUACUGGCUUUCACAUUGAACAAAGUAAUAGCAAUAUUGUAAGAUGAUCAACUAUGAAUGACAGCUAUUCUCUGCAAUACAGUGAUCUAAGACAAUUCGAAAGAACUUGAGACAAAAAAAAAGCUCCCCAUUUUCAGAGGAAGAAUUGAUGGAUUCUGAAUGCAGAAUGAAGCAUAUUUUUAUCCCCCAUUUUAAAAAAAAUGAAGCUUCUUCCACAACAUGACUAAUACUGAAAUAUGCUUUUCAUGGUUACACAUGUAUAACCUAUAUCAAAUUGCUUUACUGUCUUAGGGAGGGGAUGGGAAAGGAGGGAGAGGAUUUGGAACUCAGAAUUUUAGAAAACAAACAUUAAAAAUUGUUUUUAUUUGUAACUGGGAAAAAAACCAAAAUAUUUUCUAAAA